GAUUAUGGCUCAGAACGAACGCUGGCGGCAGGUCUUAGGCAUGCAAGUCGAACGGAUGACAGAGAGCUUGCUCUCUGAAGUCAGUGGCGCACGAGUGAGUAACGCGUGGGAAACUGCCCUUCACUGGGGAAUAACGUUUGGAAACGAACGCUAAUACCGCAUACGCCCGCAAGGGGAAAGAUUUAUCGGUGAUGGAUGUGCCCGCGUUGGAUUAGCUAGUUGGUGGGGUAAUAGCCUACCAAGGCGAUGAUCCAUAGCUGGUCUGAGAGGACGAUCAGCCACGCUGGAACUGAGACACGGUCCAGACUCCUACGGGAGGCAGCAGCUAAGAAUAUUGGGCAAUGGAGGAAACUCUGACCCAGCCCACGCCGCGUGAAUGAAGAAGGCCUUCGGGUUGUAAAGUUCUUUUAGUCAUGAAGAUGAUGACAGUAGUGACAGAAAAAGCACCGGCUAACUUCGUGCCAGCAGCGGC
rnacentral:rRNA from 1 species